GAUUGGCCAAAAAGUUCGUUCUGGUUUUUCCAUAAGAUGUUACAGAACAACCCAAACGAAAUUUUUGGCCCACC
rnacentral:miRNA from 1 species